rnacentral:rRNA from 1 species
AUUGAACGCUGGCGGCAUGCUUUACACAUGCAAGUCGAACGGUAACAGGCCGCAAGGUGCUGACGAGUGGCGAACGGGUGAGUAAUGCAUCGGAACGUGCCCAGUCGUGGGGGAUAACGCAGCGAAAGCUGUGCUAAUACCGCAUACGAUCUAUGGAUGAAAGCGGGGGACCGUAAGGCCUCGCGCGAUUUGAGCGGCCGAUGUCAGAUUAGGUAGUUGGUGGGGUAAAGGCUCACCAAGCCAACGAUCUGUAGCUGGUCUGAGAGGACGACCAGCCACACUGGGACUGAGACACGGCCCAGACUCCUACGGGAGGCAGCAGUGGGGAAUUUUGGACAAUGGGCGCAAGCCUGAUCCAGCAAUGCCGCGUGCAGGAGGAAGGCCUUCGGGUUGUAAACUGCUUUUGUACGGAACGAAACGGUCUGGGUUAAUACCCUGGGCUAAUGACGGUACCGUAAGAAUACGCACCGGCUAACUACGUGCCAGCCGCCGCCGUAACAC